UUGGGAAGUCCUNGUGUUGCACCC
rnacentral:rRNA from 1 species